UUCACAUUGUGCUUCCUUUUUUGCAUGUUUUUUAUGGCCACUAUUCGCAAUAAAUUUGAUUGUCACCACUGUGACACUUUGUUAGUUUGCUAUCCUGAACUUCUCUUAUUUAUGAAGCUUCCAUUUGAUUUCCAAGGUGUCAUGGACAUGUUCAUGUUUCUCUUUCUUCUGCUGUUGUAAGGGGACCAUAAUCUCUACAUACAGCAUGCAUGUGCAGUUGGACUUACUUUUCGCUGCACUAUACAAAUACAUAAACUAAAUGAUAAAUGUACUGUUGUCUGUCAACUUACUUUGGUUCUAGUGUUUAACAGUGGCCCCUCACAUGCUUUUCUAGGUUCAUUUCACCACCAACACGCGUAUUGCUUUCACAACUGUGCACAGAUAAGAAGGAUUGUUGAUAAUGUUAGUUAGGUGAUCAUAUUCACCAAUCGAGGACCUGUUGGCUUAACAGUAUCAAGUCUCCAAAUGUAUGUGUGCCAAGUGCCAAAAUGUGGAAGUUUAUAGCUGAAAACUCUGCAAAGUGUUUGCUUCUAGCAGGCUUUUACUUUCCAGUAUUUGGUUGUCAUGAUCUUGGAUUAUCCAUCUGAGGUAACAGUUUUCAGCUUCUUUUUAUGAGAAGCCAGGCCACCUUUUGUGGGUUUCUUACAAUCUGCUAACUUGACUCUAGGACAUCUGAUUAACUAUGGGAAUUUAAGAAUUGUUAUGGCACCUGCAACUCAAAGACUCACAUGCUACAGAAAUUUUUACUGUGAACUCUUCAUGUUAGCUGCUGGUAAUCACUAAUUCUUUUGGAUGCUAUUAAAAUAUGCAAUUGUCUUUCCAUCAUAAAUAGUCUACAUCAAAUUUUCUUUGCACCACACCCUGCAGUGGAAAGGCCAACAAAAUGUAGUAGUCUGUGAUUGUGGUUCAUCAUCUCAAGAAGUGUUGGAUGAUCCCUCUUAAUGGUGCUUUGUGUUUGGAUACAGUCACUAAAAGUUUCUUCUUUCCCUUUUAGACAGAUUCAACUGUUUACUGAAUAUAUUCUUUAAAGAUUAAUUUC